rnacentral:rRNA from 1 species
GGGGAAUUUUGGACAAUGGGCGCCAGCCUGAUCCAGCAAUGCCGCGUGUGUGAAGAAGGCCUUCGGGUUGUAAAGCACUUUUGUCAGGGAAGAAACGGUUCUGGCUAAUACCUGGAGCUAAUGACGGUACCUGAAGAAUAAGCACCGGCUAACUACGUGCCAGCAGCCGCGGUAAUACGUAGGGUGCAAGCGUUAAUCGGAAUUACUGGGCGUAAAGCGUGCGCAGGCGGUUAUGUAAGUCAGAUGUGAAAUCCCCGGGCUCAACCUGGGAAUUGCAUUUGAGACUGCAUGGCUAGAGUGUGUCAGAGGGGGGUAGAAUUCCACGUGUAGCAGUGAAAUGCGUAGAGAUGUGGAGGAAUACCGAUGGCGAAGGCAGCCCCCUGGGAUAACACUGACGCUCAUGCACGAAAGCGUGGGGAGCAAACA